UACAGAGGUCUCAAGCGUUGUUCGGAUCCAUUGGGCGUAAAGGGUGCGUAGGCGGCGCGGUAAGUCGGGUGUGAAAUCUCGGGGCUUAACUCCGAAACUGCAUUCGAUACUGCCGUGCUUGAGGACUGGAGAGGAGACUGGAAUUUACGGUGUAGCGGUGAAAUGCGUAGAUAUCGUAAGGAAGACCAGUGGCGAAGGCGGGUCUCUGGACAGUUCCUGACGCUGAGGCACGAAGGCCAGGGGAGCAAACGGG
rnacentral:rRNA from 1 species